CCUAUAAUUUAGUCACAUGAAACAGUUUAACCUCAGACAAGUCAAACGAGAGCACGAAGAAGCAGCAAAGAGCGAGCCGGGGUCAGCAGGCGAGAGGAACAGUCACCUGGCCCGGACAGGGCCCAGCGACCCAGGCCCUUUAUUCCCGUCCCUCCGGGCCGUGCGCGGCCCCCACCCCGGCCCGGGGCUCCCACGCCGCCCCCCUCGGCCCGCCCCACGCCCGUGCCCAGGACUGGGGGUCACAACAGCGGGCAGACGCCGCGCGCGGGCAAGUUGGAGACUUACCUCCCCCGGAUGCGCUAGACCAUCAAUGGAGCCACUGAAGACGCGGCUUCGUAUUCCUGGGGGGACAUAGAGUGGAUUUGAACGAUUUGCUCAGACAGACUCUUUCGAAAUUGAAAAAUAAGUAUAUGGCAAAAGAUUAAGAAAGAGAAAAAAGAAAUUGGGAAAUUGCACUGCUUAUUUGAAAUGAAUUGUAAAGAUGAAAUGCCUGAAAAGUCUCAUCGAGGAAUAAAGAAAGGAUACAGACACAGAAUUUCAGAAAGAGAGGCAUGUACAUAACUCUGCCAUAAGUUUGAAAAAAAAAAUCUAAAAAAAAAGGUAAAAAAUCCAAGUAUCACCUUUUCUUUGAGAAAUAGUGUAUUGUGUCUCACUUCCCCAAACGGGUAAUCACAGGGUCUGCGAUGCUAUAAAGGGAGUGAGGGGCAGGCCAAAUGCUCAUAUUCUAUUUUGUAAUAAUUUAUAGGAUUGAAGGGUUUGGAAAUUUCAAUUAUGAUUCGCAGUUUUUGAAAUGCAUGUCAUGUUUAUUGAGUUCUUUCACAGACCCUGGCAUGAAUCCAAGGUGAAUCAUCAACCUAUUGUUGGUUUGUUAAUAUACUGUAAAUGCUUAUUGGUGUCCUUACACCACACACUCUUCCUGAAGGAGUUCAGUUCUGUGUAUAAUAGAAUAAUUAAGGGAUAGCACAUAGCGCAAAAUACUCCACUCAUCUAUUUGAAAUAAAGGGGUAAUUUUCUCUUUGGAAUAUCUAUUCAGAUUACAAUUUCCACAUCCAACGGUUUAAAAAUAACAGGACUGGUCGGUAUUAUUGGACCGUGACCCAAGAGAUCUAAAAUCAAAUGGGUCUCUGCCAUUAUCUUUCUGGGUAACUUUCAGCAGGAAAAAUCCUUUCUGCUGCAAUUUCUUCAGCUAUGAAAUGGGAAAACUAGUUAACGCCACCUUAUCUAAUAAUGUGAGAACUGAAUUUUACAGCACAAUAAAUUCAGUAAACAGCUCUCGACAUUGUAGAUACAGAUGAAACUGUACCACGUCAGUGUGGAAAUCACGAAGGGUAAAGAGCAUUAGUUAGAUGGCUUCAGUUUCCAUCAAAGUCCACGUUUACAGGGGCACUAUUUCUAAUAAAGGUUCAGCUCUGUGGUGGAGGAGUGGACAGCUGUUCCAAGAGAAUGCCUGUGCCUCUGUGGAUCGUGCAGUGCCACUCAGCAGGGAAGAGAGGUUCUCAAGCUCAGGAACCUAUCUUUACCACAGUAUUAGGCACUGACAUCGUUUUCAUUUGUUUUUUAAGUGUAGAUGUAGAAAUCUUGAAAUUCCACAUCAUAAUAAAACCACCUAUUAUGGUACUGGGCCCAAAUUUAGCAAACUAGACCUGUUUAACUAGAACAAUCCCAUUCAAGAAUUGUUGUCCAGCCAUAAAGCCAGAAAAUACAGGCUUCCUUCCAAAGAACUGAGAGGCUGAUAAGGUAAUAACAAUACACCGUAAUAAGAACGAUUAAGCCAUUGAUGGAAAGCUUAUUAUAUCCAAAACGCCAGGCAAAGCAUGUUGCUUUCUUUGGAGUUCCCGUCGUGGCACAGUGGUUAACGAAUCCAACUAGCAACCAUGAGCUUGCAGGUUCGAUCCUUGGCCUUGCUCUGUGGGUUAAGGAUCCGGCGUUGCUGUGAGCUGUGGUGUAGGUUGCAGCCGCGGCUCGGAUCCCACAUUGCUGUGACUGUGGUGUAGGCCGGCAGCUGUAGCUCUGAUUGGACCCCUGGCCUGGGAACCUCCAUAUGCUGUGGGAGUGGCCCUAGAAAAGGCAAAAAGACAAAAAAANNNNNNNNNNNNNNNNNNNNNNNNNNNNNNNNNNNNNNNNNNNNNNNNNNNNNNNNNNNNNNNNAAAAAAAAAAAAAAAAAAAAAAAAAAAAAAAAAGCAUGUUGCUUUCUUAGCCCACUUACUGCUGACAGCAGCCAAUAAAGUGUGUUAUUAUCAUCUCUAUUUUAAAGGUCAAGAAACUGGGGCUUGGAAUUCCCGUUGUGGCUCAGUGGUAACGAACCCGACUAGUAUCUAUGAGGACAUGGGUUCAAUCCCUGGCCUCGCUCUGUGGGAUAAGGAUCAGCAUUGCCAUGAGGCGUGGUGUAGGUCACAGACAUGGCUUGGAUCAGUCGUUGUUGUGGCUGUGGUGUAGGCCGGCAGCUGCAGCUCUGAUUUGACCCCUAGCCUGGGAACUUCCAUAUGCCAAGUGUGCAGCCCUAAAAAGACAGAAAAAGAAAGAAAGAAAGAAACUGGGGCUUAGAGAAGUUAAAUAACUUGCUCAAGGUGAAAGAGUUCAGACAUCCAGUGGGGCUUUUUCCCACAAUGAAAUUAGAAAAAGUUUCCUUACUCUUUUCAGCAAAGCUUUAGGACAUGGGGAUCACUUAACCAAAUCUGAAAACAUCAGAAAAGACUUUUGUUAUUUUCUGUAUCUUACUACGCUAGAAGUGAUUUUAUUUUGCAUACAGAAGUCACAGCAGAGAUGUAGUACCAUUAUUUAAAAGAAUCCAGGAGUUCCUGUUGUGGCUCAGCAGUAAUGAACCUGACUAGUAUCCAUGAGGAUGCAGGUUCAAUCCCAAGCCUCGAUCAGUGGUUUAAGGAUCCUGCACUGCAGUGAGCUGUGGGGUAGGUCAAAGAUGUGGCUCAGAUCCCGUGUUGCUGUGGCUGUGGUGUAGGCCGCAGCUAACAGCUCCGAUUCAACCCCUGGCCUGGGAGACUCCACAUGCCACAGGUGGCCCUAAAAAGCAAAAAAAAAAGAAUCCAAGGGAGGAGUUCCUGUCGUGGCACAGCUAAAACGAAUCCGACUAGGAACUAUGAGGUUUUGGGUUGAAUCCCUGGCCUAGCUCAGUGGAUUAAGGAUCUGGGGUUUCUGUGAUCUGUGGUGUAGGUCACAGAUGAGGCUCAGAUCUGAUGUUGCUGUGGAUGUGGUGUAGGCCAGCGGCUGUAGCUCCGAUUUGACCCCUAGCCUUGGGGAAACUCCAUAUGCUGUGGAUGCAGGCCUAAAAAAGCAAAAAAAAAAAAAAAAAAAAAAAGUGAUGUUGAGCAACCAGACAGCUACGUGGGAAAACAAGAACAACACAGUAAAAAAAAAUGUUUUUAGGAGUUCCUGUCGUGGCGCAGUGGUUAACGAAUCCGACUAGAAACCAUGAGGUUGCAGGUUCGAUCCCUGCCCUUGCUAAGUGGGUUAACGAUCCGGCAUUGCCGUGAGCUGUGGUGGAGGUCGCAGAUGUGGCUUGGAUCCCGUGUUGCUGUGGCUCUGGCGUAGGCUGGCAGCUACAGCUCCGAUUGGACCCCUAGCCUGGGAACCUCCAUAUGCCAAGGAGCUGCCCAAGAAAAGACAAAAAAAAAAAAAAAUGUUUUUAACUAGAUUCCUAUUAGUCCUAAUUCCCCCCCAAUUAUAAAUGGAUUUUUUUGGGGGGGGGCACUGUGGGAGGCCAGGGAUCAAAUGCAAAUCCUCAUGGAUACUAGUCGAAUUUGUUUCUAUGGUGCCACAACGGGAACUCCACUAGUGGAUAUUUUUAAAUGUAAAAAGUGAAAUCACUGAAGUACUAUUUCUUAGGUUCAAUUUAUUGGUGUUUAUUUUAUUAUUGUCCUCUAUAACCUAUGUAUAAAUUAUGUUUCCUCUUUCCUAUAUGUCAGAUAUUUUAAGAUUUUUUUUUUAAUGAAACUAUGAAAGUAUAAAGGGGUACUAAAACUUUUUCAAAUCAUGGGUUGAGGAAGUUCUCUCUAAGCAUGAGAGGAAACCAAGAAGUAAGUCAUAAAGGAAAAAUACCAAUAAAUUUUAAUGCAUAAAUAUUUUAUAUCUCUUUAAGGCAUAAAAAAACCCACCGUAACAGUAGAAGGAACAACCAACCUAAGGAAAAUAUUUUCAACACCUAACAAAGGGCUAACAAAGAGCUCUCACAAAUUUGUAAGGAAAAAAAAUCAAUGGAAAAACAGAUAAAAUAUAUGAACAAAGAAUCUCAGAAAAAAAUUUGUUCAAUAAACAUGUAAUGUAUUCAUAAUGAAAUGAAUGCAAAUUUAAAUUACCUCUUAGAAAGUUUUUUUUAAUGAUUUUUAUUCUUUUCAUUAUAGCUGGUUUACAGUGUUCUGUCCAUUUUCUGCUAUAUAGCAAAGUGACCCAGUCACACAUACAUAUAUACAUUCUUUUUUCCACAUUAUCCUCCAUCCUGCUCCAUCAUAAGUGACUAGUGCUAAACAGAAUAUAGUUCCCAGUGCUAUACAGCAGGAUCUCAUUGCUUAUCUGUCCCAAAGGCGAAAAUUUGCAUCUAUUAACCCCAGAUUCCCAGUCCAUCCCACUCCCUCCCCCUCCCCCAGGAGUUUUUUGUUUUUGUUUUUAACUUCAUAUAUUCAGUAUUGAUGAGGAUAUAGGAAAACAGGCACCCUGAUGAAGUGUUGGUAAAAAUGUCAUCAUUCCAUUUUUUUAGAACACAAUUUGGCACCAUUUAUGAAAAUGUUAAAUAUACCCAUACUCUUUGAGCCAGUGAUUCUGUUCUAGAAAGCCACCCUACAAAUAAUAUUGCACAAGUGUACAAGAAUAUAUACAAAAGACUCAAAACAGUAUAACAGUGAAAACCCAUAAAGAGCCAAACAUCCACCAAACAAAAAAGAUUUAAAUAGGAGUUCCCGUCGUGGCUCAGUGGUUAAUGAAUCCGACUAGGAACCAUGAGGUCGAGGGUUCGAUUCCUGGCCUCGCUCAGUGGAUUGAGGAUUUGGCAUUGCCGUGAGCUGUGGUGUAGGUCAAAGACUUGGCUUGGAUCUGCUGUGGUUGAGGCGUAGGCUGGCGGCUACAGCUCCGAUUAGACCCCUAGCCUGGGAACCUCCAUUUGCCCCAGGAGCUGCCAUAGAAAUGGCAAAAAGACCAAAAAAAAAAAGAUUUAAAUAAACGAUGGUACAAACAUGCAAUGGAAUGCCUUACAAUUUUCAAAAAGAAUGAGGUAAAUCUGAAUUGAUGAAGAGAGCCAGCAUUCAGAGUUAAACGAAAAAAGCCAGUCACAGAUCAAUUACAUGAAGUAUAAUUCUAUUUGGGUUUGGUUU
rnacentral:lncRNA from 1 species